CCCCCCCCCCCCCAACACAAAGCAGAACAGGAAGAUAGUAAGACAACAUCUGCCAUCUUAUGUUCGAAUCUCAUCCUACGAUUGUGUUUUUCUAUCAAUCUAUCUCUGUAUUGUUUAUUUGCUUCAGCUGCAAAUUUGGUACCUUUUGGUAAUUCCUUGAUGUAAAUCACUGGUGGGUGUUUGUAUUUUCUGGGAUUUGCGAACUGGGUUAUGUGUACUUGACCUUAUAUAUAAUUAUAUAUAUAUAUAAAGUUUUAUUCUUUUGGGUGUUCAAAGUUUCAAUCUUGUUUGUUGUUUAGGAUUGGGGUUUCUGAUAUAUGCAAUUUCUCUUGUGAUUUUGUGAAGCGGAUUGUGAUAUUGCCUAAUUGGGCUUUGAUUUAUAUAUUCUCAGCAAUUUUAUGACAAAGGGUAUAAAUUGAUGUUGUUCAUAUAGUUUGGUAUUUGAUUGGUUUGCAGUAGACUGUUUUUGAUUUCUCAUUUUCAUUUCUCAGAGUGUAUGAGAUAUAACUAUUUGUAAUAAUUUCAGAUAUGUAGCCCCUCCAUAUUUCGUGUUUCAGCGAUGAGAUGGAUCUAAGGGCAGUUCUUUUUCUUUCUUCUGUAUUGUAUAGGUAGAGAUAGGUAGUGGUCAUCUUUCAGUCUCAAUUGGUUGGUUGGUCUAAAGGGAUCCAAUGGCUGAGGAGCAGAUAAAUUUUGAAGAGGAGGAAUAUGGAGGUGCUCAGAAGCUCCAAUAUCAGGGAAGUGGAGCCAUAUCUGCUCUUGCAGAUGAAGAACCGAUGGUCGAAGAUGAUGAGUACGACGAUCUAUAUGAUGAUGUUAAUGUUGGAGAGGGUUUCCUGCAGAUGCAUCGAUCUGAGGCACCAGUCCCUGCUGGUGGUGUUGGGAAUGGAGGACUCCAAGCUCAGAAAACUGAUGUUCCCGAACUAAGAGUUCAAGCCGGUGCUUCUCAGGAAAUGAAAAUUCCGGGGGUUUCAGUUGGAGGAAAUUAUUCUAGUGUUCCUGAACAGAAGGUUCAACCACCAGUCGCUAGCGUGCCUGAAACUCAAGUCAGGCAUAUGGGGUUUCAGGGGUCAACAACUAUGCCCUCCAAUGUUGGUGCUGAUUCUUUGGAAAUUACUGCAAAAUUUGCUAACGAGCCUCUUCCAUCAAUGAAUUCUGGCACCACUGGUCCUUCAGCUGUUACACAGUUGCCUGCUAAUCAAAUGAAUAUGAAGGUCAAUCUUAAUCGUCCAAUGGCUAAUGAAAACCAAAUCCGUCCUCCAAUUGAGAAUGGUUCGGCCACGUUGUUUGUGGGAGAUUUACAUUGGUGGACAACUGAUGCUGAACUGGAAAGUGUUUUAUCUCAGUUUGGGAGGGUGAAGGAAAUUAAGUUUUUUGAUGAAAGAGCCAGCGGUAAAUCCAAAGGUUAUUGUCAGGUAGAUUUUUAUGAUCCCGCGGCUGCCAGUGCAUGCAAAGAGGGAAUGGAUGGUUAUGUUUUCAAUGGGAGAGCUUGUGUUGUGGCCUUUGCUACUUCACAAACUUUAAAGCAGAUGGGAGCUAAUUAUGUGAACAAAUCCCAAGGGCAGGUUCAAACUCAGCCCCAAGGGAGAAGGCCCAUGAAUGAUGGUGCUGGGAGAGGGGGAGGCAUGAAUUUUCAAGGUGGAGACACGGGGAGAAAUUUUGGGAGGGGUAAUUGGGGGCGAGGUGGACAGGGAGUACCCAACAGAGGUCCUGGUGGACCAGGCCGGGGAAGAGGAGGGGCCAUGGGUGCAAAGAACAUGGUUGGGAAUAAUGCUGGGGUUGGAGCUGGUGCUAAUGGAGGAGGCUAUGGACAGGGCCUUGCAGGUCCUGGAUUUGGCGGUCCUGUGGGAGGUAUGAUGAAUGCACCUGGUAUGAUGGGUCCUGGGUUUGAUCCAACAUAUAUGGGUCGAGGAGGUGGUUACGGAGGGUUCCCUGGUCCUGGUUUUCCUGGAAUGCUUCCUCAAUUUCCUGGUGUUAAUGCAAUGGGACUUGCUGGGGUUGCUCCUCAUGUAAACCCAGCUUUCUUUGGCAGGGGAAUGGCAACGAAUGGGAUGGGGAUGAUGGGUUCUUCUGGAAUGGAGGGGCAUCAUGCCCCUAUGUGGAAUGAUCCAAGUAUGGGUGGGUGGGGAGGAGAAGAACAGGAUCGAAGAACUAGGGAAUCAAGCUAUGGGGGUGAUGAUGGUGCUUCUGAGUAUGGAAACUAUGUAGAGGCAAAUCAUGAGAAAUCAGCUAAGUCAAGUGCUGCCUCAAGGGAAAGAGAACGGGGAUCUGAGCGUGAGUGGACAGGAACCUCUGAGAGGAGGCAUCGUGAUGAGAGAGAACAAGACUUGGACAGGUCUGAAAGGGAGCACCGGGAGCCCAGGUAUAAAGAAGAAAAAGAUAGUUACAGAGAUCAUCGUCGAAGAGAGCGUGACGUGGGUUAUGAUGAUGACUGGGACAGAGGACAAUCUUCUUCAAGACCUCGCAGUAGGUCCAAAGCAAUGCCGGAAGAUGAUCAUCGUUCUCGAUCAAGGGAUGUGGAUUAUGGGAAGAGGAGACGAUUGCCAUCUGAGUGACAUGAGUAAAUGAUUUUUCUUUCUUUGGCAUGUUGUUUAGACUGCAGCAUAUGGCUUCUUAACGGUAGUGGUAUCUUGCCUUGAAUAGCUACUGUGCAGCUGCAUCUUCAUCCAUGUUUCGAUGGCCCCACCUGCAAAUGUGCUUCUUGAUGAAGAAGUUAUUUUAUCUGAUGUCUAAUUGACAUGCGGGUUUUCUUUUAAUCCUCAUAUCCAGGGAGUAGAGUGGGAAACUCUUUCUUUUCAUGCUUGAAUCAGCCUGUGCUGGUCACAUCGUGGAAUGUGUGUUACAAGGAUGUGUUGCCAAGUCUUAAAAAGAAAUCUAUUUUGGCUUUCACCUUAUUUUCUUGAAGCACCACCUAAUAUUUGUAUUACGACUGCUCGUGCAACUAGAAAGAGAGUUCUCAAAGUAGUGAAUAAGAUGGACUUAUCAGUGUGCAUGUAGCUGAAUUUCUUUGUGUAACUAUAGACUUCUGUAUUAGGUACACAUGUAAUACCCUAUCAAUUUCUUGACCAUAUUAGGCUUACCUGUGAGCUUGUAAAAGUCUUGUACUGAAGCUAUGUGCUUAGUUUUCCAUAUUCGGUGCUGUAAUACAUGAUGACUGGCCUGUGCAUUAGGGAGUCAGGAUUCAGCCAAAUACAGUGUGUACCAAGAAGCCAUCAUGAUAGACUGUAAUUAGUCACGAUGAAGGUUCUACAAACCCAGUUUCUGUUGAAGCGAUUUCCUGUAAAAAGAUUCUUUUAUUUCAUAAUGCAUAUUGUGAUGUGUACUGGGUUUAAGGGUUAGUGAGUUGUGAACCAAUGGUUCCUUGUAAAUGAGUUGGGGCCGAAAUUAUUGUUUAGGCACUGUUUCUCUCUUAGAGGAGGCCCAUGUUGUGCUCCUUAUGUACAUUUUCCAGUUGGACAUAGCUUUGUACUUUCUUCAUGGAUCAAUCAAUGUUCUCUGUUCCUUCUUUUUCAUUGGAACAGACUGUAUUGUUUCUCAAUA